ACCAAUUUGGCAGAUAUAGUGCGCUGGAGUUAAGUCUCAGUUAUAAGUGUAAAAACUUAUUUGGUA
rnacentral:tRNA from 1 species